GAUGAACGCUGGCGGCGUGCCUAAUACAUGCAAGUCGAGCGAACAGAUGAGGAGCUUGCUCCUCUGACGUUAGCGGCGGACGGGUGAGUAACGCGUGGAUAACCUACCUAUAAGACUGGGAUAACUACGGGAAACCGGAGCUAAUACCGGAUAAUAUAUUGAACCGCAUGGUUCAAUAGUGAAAGACGGUUUUGCUGUCACUUAUAGAUGGAUCCGCGCCGCAUUAGCUAGUUGGUAAGGUAACGGCUUACCAAGGCAACGAUGCGUAGCCGACCUGAGAGGGUGAUCGGCCACACUGGAACUGAGACACGGUCCAGACUCCUACGGGAGGCAGCAGUAGGGAAUCUUCCGCAAUGGGCGAAAGCCUGACGGAGCAACGCCGCGUGAGUGAUGAAGGUCUUCGGAUCGUAAAACUCUGUUAUUAGGGAAGAACAAAUGUGUAAGUAACUAUGCACGUCUUGACGGUACCUAAUCAGAAAGCCACGGCUAACUACGUG
rnacentral:rRNA from 1 species